rfam:Ailuropoda melanoleuca scaffold224_57, whole genome shotgun sequence.
UUUUUAGUUAUAAGUAUGUCCUAUGCCACAUUUGGGACAUACUUAUACUAAAA